UUAACUGAAACCAAAACUAGAGGUAUAUUAUUGUUAAUAAUAAAACUGAAUAUAAUUAUUCCAGUUAAG
rnacentral:tRNA from 1 species